rnacentral:rRNA from 1 species
GACGGGGCCCGGCACAAGCGGUGGAGUAUGUGGUUUAAUUCGAUGCAACGCGAAGAACCUUACCUGGUCUUGACAUCCCGGAGACCCUUAGGAAACUAGGGGGUGCUUCCAUCUGGAAGAAUCUGGAGACAGGUGCUGCAUGGCUGUCGUCAGCUCGUGUCGUGAGAUGUUGGGUUAAGUCCCGCAACGAGCGCAACCCUUGCCUUUAGUUGCCAGCAGUUCGGCUGGGCACUCUAAACGGGACUGCCGGUGUUAAACCGGAGGAAGGUGGGGAUGACGUCAAGUCCUCAUGGCCUUUAUGACCAGGGCUACACACGUACUACAAUGGCCGAUACAAAGGGCAGCGACACUGCGAGGUGAAGCCAAUCCCGUAAAAUCGGUCUCAGUCCGGAUUGGAGUCUGCAACUCGACUCCAUGAAGUUGGAAUCGCUAGUAAUCGUGGAUCAGCAUGCCACGGUGAAUACGUUCCCGGGCCUU